GAUGAACGCUGGCGGCGUGCCUAAUACAUGCCAGUCGAGCGAACAGAUAAGGAGCUUGCUCCUUUGACGUUAGCGGCGGACGGGUGAGUCACACGUGGGUAACCUACCUAUAAGACUGGGAUAACUUCGGGAAACCGGAGCAAAUCCCGGAUAACAUUUGGAACCGCAUGGUUCUAAAGUGAAAGAUGGUUUUGCUAUCACUUAUAGAUGGACCCGCGCCGUAUUAGCUAGUUGGUAAGGUAACGGCUUACCAAGGCGGCGAUACGUAGCCGACGUGAGAGGGUGAUCGGCCACACUGGAACUGAGACACGGUCCAGACGCCUACGGGAGGCAGCAGUAGGGAAUGUUCCGCAGUGGGCGAAAGCCUGACGGAGCAACGCCGCGCGAGUGGUGAAGGGGUUCGGCUCGUAAAGCUCUGUUAUUAGGGAAGAACAACUGUGGAAGUAACUGUGCACGUCUUGACGGUACCUAAACAGAAAGCAACGGCUAACUACGUG
rnacentral:rRNA from 1 species